rnacentral:rRNA from 1 species
AACGAACGCUGGCGGCAGGCUUAACACAUGCAAGUCGAACGCAUCCUUCGGGGUGAGUGGCAGGCGGGUGAGUAACGCGUGGGAACGUGCCCUUCAGUUCGGGAUAACCCAGGGAAACUUGGGCUAAUACCGGAUACGUGCGAGAGCAGAAAGAUUUAUCGCUGAAGGAUCGGCCCGCGUCUGACUAGCUAGUUGGUGAGGUAAUGGCUCACCAAGGCGACGAUCAGUAGCUGGUCUGAGAGGAUGACCAGCCACACUGGGACUGAGACACGGCCCAGACUCCUACGGGAGGCAGCAGUGGGGAAUAUUGGACAAUGGGCGCAAGCCUGAUCCAGCCAUGCCGCGUGAGUGAUGAAGGCCUUAGGGUUGUAAAGCUCUUUCGGCGGGGACGAUAAUGACGGUACCCGCAGAAGAAGCCCCGGCUAACUUCGUGCCAGCAGCCGCAGUAA